UGUGUGGGCCAUAUGUUGCCGUUUAAUAUCUCCCCAAUCAGCAAGAAAUUUCCUCAGAUUUUUCACAGGAUCCCUGAGGAACCAGAAAUAGACAGCAGGAGAAUCCAGUUUGAAUGAGAAACGUGUUUUUCAAAACAACCGUCAAGGAAUUUACAUCGUCAAACCCAUUUCAAAGAUGAGAGACAGUAAGGCAUGAAGAGAUCAACUGGCCGUCGCCUACAAUGUGUUGUUUCUUGUUUUGGAGGAAGCCAGUAUCCAGGUCGCAAAGACACUCAAGCAGCCCCACAGAGAGGCCCGCGUGGAGAGCACUGACCUGCCAGUCACGUGAGGGAGUCACGUUAGAAGUAAACCCUUCAGACCCAGCCAAGCCGUCAGACCGCUGCAGUGCAGCUGAUAUCUGGCUGUAACCUCGUGAGACAUCCUGAGCCAGAACAACCCAGCCAAGCCACUCCAGAAUUCCCAAGACGCAGAAACUGUGAGG